UACGAAGGGGGCUAGCGUUGUUCGGAAUUACUGGGCGUAAAGCGCACGUAGGCGGAUCCUUAAGUCGGAGGUGAAAUCCCGGAGCUCAACUCCGGAACUGCCUUCGAUACUGGGGAUCUUGAGGUCGAGAGAGGUGAGUGGAAUUCCGAGUGUAGAGGUGAAAUUCGUAGAUAUUCGGAGGAACACCAGUGGCGAAGGCGGCUCACUGGCUCGAUACUGACGCUGAGGUGCGAAAGCGUGGGGAGCAAACAGG
rnacentral:rRNA from 1 species